AUGACAGAAAAAGCACAUCAGGCUGCUGCUUUUGUCUUGAUAAUUGCUUUUCUCAUGCAAUGAAAAAUUGUGCAGUAUCCAAAGCUUCCCUAAGUGUGAAGCGUCCGGAUGGACUUGGCUUACAGUCCAGACGCAUGCGACCCUGCCAAUUGCUAAUCUAGCAGUAGGCCGUCCGGACGAGUUGGUAACACGUCCGGACGCGAUCCAUACAGGAAUAUGUCAACUAGCGACUUCCAGCACAACAUGUGACAGAUGGAUCCUUUGAAAAACAAGUUGUUGUUGAAAGUCAUAUAAUUUUCAAAGGUCUCGGGAUUUAGAUAAGCUUUUUCCCCCAGCUCAUGCAGAGCCUUGUAUAGCAUCCUUCUUCAGAUGUGUACAUCAGUUAGAGGUUCAGUGAUGAGUCUUCUCAGUUAUCUUACAUACCAGUUGACUAGAGGAUUUGAAUCUGUGAAUAAUUAGUUUCAGGCUUUGCAAACUCAAGUGACUGAAGGUGGUUAGUCUUUGCAUUCCAGACUUUAAGAGCUAAAAGCCAAUGUGGCACAAAUCCAUAUUAAUGAACGGAUUUCUCUUCGUCACUUGGUUCAGUGGAUCAACAGGAUUUGGUGCUUUGAGGAUUUUUGUUCCUCCCUCUAUCAGUUGUUUUACAAACUUUUGAUUAUUUGAGUUUUUUUAUAGUUCUUCCUUUUCCUAUGUUUGGACUUUGGAACUGUAAUUUUGGGAUAUUGUAUACUCUGUUUACCAUUGUCCUAUUGAGACAUCUAGGGGGAGUAAUUUAGAACUGUGAUUUUUCUAUACUCUAUUUACUCUUUGUCUUUUUGUGACAAAAAGGGAGAGUUUUGUAUUUUUGGACCGAGAAUGUAUUUUUAAACC